AUUUUUCCUGAAAACAGACACGCCAGAGUGACCAUGGAUACCUUGUGCCAGAGCAGCGGUUCUUACCUAGGACACCUGGGGUCCACAAGAUGAGGAAAGACGCUCUGACCUUAAACUCACAACAAACAGUAACUAUGAUGUAACUUGUAGAAAGCUGGAAAGUUUGUAGCAUAUUUUCACAGACUUUUUUUGCAUCUUCCCUAAGUGACCUAGGUUAUAUGUCUGCCCAUCUCACAGAUGAAGUGGUUAAGGGCAUGAUACUUAAAUCAGGACCAGAACCCGAAGGAGAUCAAAGGCCUCACAGCAUUAGGGAGCUGCUGAUCCUUGCCCCCCCAAAGCUAAUCCCUGUGGGAGGUGGGGACCUUGUCCUCCUGGUCCCCUCCUUUUCACUAGCAAUACCCCUCUUAAGGGAUCUAAGCGAUACUCCUGUAUGCAAAGGUGGUCACAAAAUGGAGAUCACCACCUCUUAGCUAAUUAUUGUAGCCAACAAGGGGCUAAGGGGCUUGUGCUAAAUUACUUACAAUGUAUUUGGGCCUAGGGGAUGAAAGCGCGCCAAAAAGUAAGGUCUGAAAUACUUGCUCUGCUAAAGAAAAACGGCCUGUGUGUACUCAAAGGUCACAGACGAAAGGGCAUAAUCUCCGGGUGAUGACCAUUGGUGGGUAAUUGCUCCCAUCCACUUGCACGCACUCUGUAUUUUUACAUUUUGACAUGUUUCACACAUUACUUUGUAAAACUUCCCCAACACUGCUACAUCACAGUUCAGUGAAAAAGAAUAUUGAUUUUUGGGGUGGAGGGUGGGGGGAUGGGAACAAGAAUAGAAAGUGCAGGGAACUGCGCCGCCUCCCCAGAGGUGGCAGUGGUUGCCUCUCUGCCAAAACGAGUGUUUAGUCCUCGUCUUCGUCAACUGUCACUUUUUGCAUUCGACAUGACAAAAACUAGUAAAAGUGUCCUUGCUGCACAGGGCCAGCGACCAAUAUGCACCGCCCAAGGACAGCUAGAGGACCCGCGUGCAGCGACAGCCCAGCUGCAGCCUGAGAAAACUACUCCAACAAGUACCAAGCGAAGUGCGGCCCGAGGCGGGGCAGUUGGGGAAAAGCCAGUUCAGGCCACCACAGUGACCAGCAGGUCCUCACUGGCCCCUGGUCCACUGUGCAAUUAGUCACCUCCCCGACUCCCCCACCGCUCCAGAACAGCGCCCCGCCACUCCUUUCUGGAGAUGCUACUCAGGACGGCCCGGCCCACACAGCUGGGCCGCACCGCACUGCGGCUGCAGGGACUGGAACUGAGCCUGUCCAAUGAGCGCGGAGGCUAGGACGCGGCAGGCCGCCACGUCACGCCCGCUGCCAUUGGCCAGUGGCAAACCGGAAAUCUUCCUGAGCCGGUUGCCAUGGACGCCCAGCCAGCCAGAGCGAACCGCCCCACUGCAGCCUCCGGAACUCCCAGCAGGCGGCGCCGCGAGCAACCCGAAGACCCAGGGAUGUGCUGACUAACGAACGCUGGGCCAGCGUUCGUUAGUCAGCACAUCCCGCUGCUCAGGCCCAGCGGAGGGGCGGCAGCUGCUCCGGAGUGGGGGGCGCGGAGGGGGCCUUCUUCCAGAAAGUGCCGGAAGCAGGGCCUCACUAGGAGAUGGAGCGGAGUAUAACCCACUUUUGGGACACAGCAAGUCAAUCAAAUAUUCGGGCUUUGGAGCCUGAGUCUAAUCAAUUAUAAAGACAUUUAUGGGACAACUGGGGAAAUCCGGACCCUUGCACUAGAUGACGUAGGAAAUUGAGUCAUCGUCAAUUCUCCGGGAGCUCUGACAGCAAAAGAGAGCGAGCCAGACAACCAGGGAGAUGGCUUCAGGAAAGGGAAACUGCGGCAUGAACAGAACAGCUCCCUUUCCCCACAAUGACCCGCCUCCCUACUGCAACACGCGGCACAGCGACAGGGCCUGUUCAGAUAAGGACAGCUACCCUUUCAUCUUCCUUCACCAAGCACAGGUAGGAAAAGACACAACUCUUCUGUAGGAGGGUGAAACCUGAGAACAGCAGCAGGAAUGUGAAUGGACAGUAGGGCUGGCAGAGAGCUGCCGUGAAGCCAGAAGCAAUGCCAGUCUGCCAGGAGCCCCUGGGAACGUCUCUCUGCUCCACCAGAGGAGCCACAUCUGGAACUCUAAAAGGCCCUUCUUGUUCAUCUUCUCAACUCUCCGUGCUCACAUUUUUUAAGCAGAAGCUUCAGGACUUUUUAAGUGUGCCUGUUCAUAGCUUAACCCCACCACUAGGUCCAACGGGCUGCAGAAAAGUAAACCUGCGGUUUUUGCUUGGAUCCAAAGUUCUGUAUUUAAUGCUUCCGAGGAAAGCCCUUGAACUUGAGACCACCAUGGCCUGUACAAACUACAUGGAGAAAGGACUCGAUUUGUGUCCUGGUGUCUGCAGGGAGAUGCCUCCUGUUCCCUGGCACUCAGCCCCUCAAUGCUCUCAAAUGACAUGGGCACAGAAGAAAUUCUUGCAGGUUUUAUAAAGGUUCCAGUUCCAGGGCCAGCCUCACUCUCUGUGCUCGGUUUUAAACUCCCACUAGCCGGGUCCUGGGGGUAAGGAGCUUCUCAGCCUGGCCUCUUACCGUGGGCUCCAUGCCAUCCACGAUGCUCUGGAUCAGCCUCUUGAGCUCGCUGAGGGCGGUGCGCAAGCUGCCGGCCGGCACGUCCUUGGCAGACGAGGUUUCCGAAGACUCGUCCAUUGAGGAGUCCGUGGAGACGGCCGAGUCAGCACUGUCGUUGCCUCGAAGGUGUGAGCAGAGGUAGCGAACCUGGCAGUAGGCUUCCCAGAGCUGCAGUCUCAGCUGCCCACAAAGAAUUAUUCUCAAUUAUGGGCUCUGGAAAAUACUGCCACCUGGUCAUCCAUUCCCCAGGAUGUGAACCCGAGUGUCUAACUAAGUAAGAUACUGUUUUAGGAGAAAGGUUUUUUUUUUUUUAAAUCACCUGUUUCAAGAAAUACUAAUAGUUAUAUGGGCCUGGGACACCUACACAGACGCCCAGUUCUUAUUUUCCCUGCUCUCCAGUCCCCUACCAUUUUGCAAACAAAGCACCUCUUUAUAUAGUCACCUACUUUGGUGGGAGUCAGUGAAUGAUUAGCAGAAUGAGUUGUUAUGAGUAGUAUGAAAAAAAGCCAAGUGGAUGGAUCAUGAAUGAUCUAGAACCUUGCAAGUGUAAGAGAUAUGAGGCUAAUGACUAAUUAACAAGCAUUUCCUGAGGGGCACUAGGGUGAGAAUGAGCCAGAAACAUGCUCCGCUCAGGGCCCGCCUCAUGUCGGCUCUAGCCUGCGGGCCUAGGGGUGUGCACAGGCUAAUGCUGAAGCAGUAGGCGCUGGGCAACAGGUGGGCUGUUGGGCUCCUGAGGUCCAGGGCCUGCCCCCAUCCCGCGGCAGCCUCGCAUGCCAGAGUGACAGAGAUGUCAGCACCUGCUCUCUCUCCUGCUCCAGCUCCUCGGCCUCCAUGCUCUGCUCGAUCUCGGACAGGAGGGACGUGCUGGUGGCGGCAGAGCUCUGCAGGCUCCUCUCCUCGGUGAGCUCGUCCACCUUCCCCUGCAGCUGGCGGCAGGAGAGGCGCACCUCCUGGAGCUCCAGCUGGCUCUGAUGCAGCUUUCAAGGAGACAGCAAAUGGCAGUAAGGCUUCUCAAAACCAAAACGAACGAAGAAUGCUACCCAGAAGCUGAUCGUGUGUCCAGAUCCAACCACCAAUUUACAGGAAAAUACAGCGGGAGAAACACGCUCGACUACAGGAGGGGGGCACAGUCUGUGGAACUCAGAUUCAGGAAAUUCUACAUGACAAACAGCUCCAUUACUUCGACAGAUACACAUCCAGGGAAAAAGGAAAGAUAAAGGGGGAACCUACAGAUUAAAGGAGGUUUAAGACACCCCAACCAA